UGGGGAAUAUUGCAGCAAUGGGCGCAAGCCUGAUGCAGCCAUGCCGCGUGUGUGAAGAAGGCCUUCGGGUUGUAAAGCACUUUCAGCGAGGAGGAAGGUGGUGGACUUAAUACGUUCAUCAAUUGACGUUACUCGCAGAAGAAGCACCGGCUAACUCCGUGCCAGCAGCCGCAGUAAUACGGAGGGUGCAAGCGUUAAUCGGAAUUACUGGGCGUAAAGCGCACGCAGGCGGUUUGUUAAGUCAGNUGUAAAUCCCCGGGCUCAACCUGGGAACUGCAUUUGAAACUGGCAAGCUAGAGUCUCGUAGAGGGGGGUAGAAUUCCAGGUGUAGCGGUGAAAUGCGUAGAGAUCUGGAGGAAUACCGGUGGCGAAGGCGGCCCCCUGGACGAAGACUGACGCUCAGGUGCGAAAAGCGUGGGGAGCAAACAGGAUUAGAUACCCCUGGUAGUCCACGCUGUAAAACGAUGUCGAUUUUGGAGGUUGUGCCCCUUGAGGCGUGGCUUCCGGAGCUAACGCGUUAAAUCGACCGCCUGGGGGAGUACGGCCGCAAGG
rnacentral:rRNA from 1 species